CAGACCUGGGUGCCCUACGUGCAGCAUCUCUGGGCUCUCAGAGCCCACCCAUGACUCCUGCUCAAGAUCAGGAAGGGUCGGACCGGGAGCCGGGCCUCGCUGUCCUCAUCCAAGAGGGGCUGUCUCUCUCGUGCGAGCUCCCCCUCAACGUCCCAAACCCACUGCAGCUCGAGGCGCCAUCACUGGCCACAGGAGCCCCGGUAGCCGUUUGGGGUCUCUGAGCCCCUCUCCUCGCCGUCCUCCUCCUCAGGUCAUCUCCACCUGCAGCUGUCACCUGGAGGGAGGGGUUUCUGAGCCUCGAGCUUUGCGAAGCACCCACCAGUCUGGCGUCCCAGACAUCCCCCGUCUUCCCUGAAUCCAGAAAGGCACGGAAGGGGCUGUGUGCUGCUGAGUGCUCCGAGCUGGGACCACACCAGGCGGAGGACUUCUUUCCCGAGGGCGAGCACGGCUCUCAGGACACAGGACACCGGCCGUCAAGGGGUGAGAGGCAAGCCAGCUGGGACCCUUCGGGCAGACGGAUGUUCCCAAGGACAUGCAGUGAACCGGGAAGCUUCGUCACUCAGCCUGUGACCCACCCACGGCAAGAUUCUGGAAGGAGAGGACCCUGAGCCCAAGUCUCGUCUUGGGAGCAGGGCUUUGCGUGUCUGCUUUGCCUCCGGUCUGAAAGAUUGCUGUGUGUGUGCAGCUAGGUCCGUGAGCGACACGGCGUGCUGGGUCCUUUCUGGGUUGUGGGCGUUGAUGGGGCUUCUGCCCAGAGAAGACGGCCACCACAGAGUCUUGCUUCAGGCUGGGCCCGUCACCUGGACAUGCAGCCCUCCCGCCACUAAAGGUCUUGUUUUCUCCUGCUCACUCGCUAGGAUCUCAAUGGAUAUGCCUGGCCUGUGCCAAGUGACAUGCCGUUGCCAACCAUGGGAGGAGGUGCGGGGUGAGGGCAGAGUGCCACGGGGGAGGUGCCCCCCAUCGGCAGGGUCCCUGCACCCUGAAGCCGCAGAUACCUGGACCUUAAUAAGACAGCUGAAGUGCAUUUCCCACCUGUCUGAAUUAAGCAAACCAGUUUAGGAGAAAAACAAUGUCCCAUCAGUUCUCUAAGGCCUCUCUAAGCUGCACAGGCUUUGUAGGGGAAUGUUGAGGAAUUCUUCAUUGCCUUGGGGAGCCACACCCCCCAAAGGCUUGGCUUAACAGCACACAGAGGCCUGUCACCUUGGUGUAUGGGUCCAGACUGUGGAACCUAACUGGGCGUGAGCCCCGCCUGGCCCCUCGGCACCUGCUGGAGAGCCUUCGGUCCUAGUGGCUGCCUGUCCUCUGGGAGACGAUGGUGGUGCUGGCCGCACAAGACGCUUUGGAAAGGGGGUGAAUUCAGGCUCAGCUUUCAGAGAGCACCCUCCAUGUGUUAAGGACUGUGUUGGCUUCUGUUUCUCAUCAUUGCUUGCCCCCCACACACAUACAUCUCCUGGUCAUGCUGAGGGUCCUCAAAGGUGUCUCCUCCACUCACAGCAGGGUCUGUACCCGAGGGUCCCCCUUGGAGGCAAGGCCUGUCCCUGCUCAGAGGAGCCCCGCCCCAGAACAACUUGCA